UUAAGCGACUAAGCGUACACGGUGGAUGCCCUGGCAGUCAGAGGCGAUGAAGGACGUGCUAAUCUGCGAAAAGCGUCGGUAAGGUGAUAUGAACCGUUAUAGCCGGCGAUGUCCGAAUGGGGAAACCCAGUGCAAUUCGUUGCACUAUCGUUAACUGAAUACAUAGGUUAACGAGGCGAACCGGGGGAACUGAAACAUCUAAGUACCCCGAGGAAAAGAAAUCAACCGAGAUUCCCCCAGUAGCGGCGAGCGAACGGGGAGCAGCCCAGAGUCUGAAUCAGCUUGUGUGUUAGUGGAACGGUCUGGAAAGUCCGACGGUACAGGGUGAUAGUCCCGUACACCAAAAUGCACAGGCUGUGAACUCGAAGAGUAGGGCGGGACACGUGGUAUCCUGUCUGAAUAUGGGGGGACCAUCCUCCAAGGCUAAAUACUCCUGACUGACCGAUAGUGAACCAGUACCGUGAGGGAAAGGCGAAAAGAACCCCGGCGAGGGGAGUGAAAAAGAACCUGAAACCGUGUACGUACAAGCAGUGGGAGCACCUUCGGGUGUGACUGCGUACCUUUUGUAUAAUGGGUCAGCGACUUAUAUUCUGUAGCAAGGUUAACCGUAUAGGGGAGCCGCAGGGAAACCGAGUCUUAACUGGGCGUUAAGUUGCAGGGUAUAGACCCGAAACCCGGUGAUCUAGCCAUGGGCAGGUUGAAGGUUGGGUAACACUAACUGGAGGACCGAACCGACUAAUGUUGAAAAAUUAGCGGAUGACUUGUGGCUGGGGGUGAAAGGCCAAUCAAACCGGGAGAUAGCUGGUUCUCCCCGAAAGCUAUUUAGGUAGCGCCUCGUGAACUCAUCUUCGGGGGUAGAGCACUGUUUCGGCUAGGGGGUCAUCCCGACUUACCAACCCGAUGCAAACUACGAAUACCGAAGAAUGUUAUCACGGGAGACACACGGCGGGUGCUAACGUCCGUCGUGAAGAGGGAAACAACCCAGACCGCCAGCUAAGGUCCCAAAGUCAUGGUUAAGUGGGAAACGAUGUGGGAAGGCACAGACAGCCAGGAUGUUGGCUUAGAAGCAGCCAUCAUUUAAAGAAAGCGUAAUAGCUCACUGGUCGAGUCGGCCUGCGCGGAAGAUGUAACGGGGCUAAACCAUGCACCGAAGCUGCGGCAGCGACACUAUGUGUUGUUGGGUAGGGGAGCGUUCUGUAAGCCUGCGAAGGUGUGCUGUGAGGCAUGCUGGAGGUAUCAGAAGUGCGAAUGCUGACAUAAGUAACGAUAAAGCGGGUGAAAAGCCCGCUCGCCGGAAGACCAAGGGUUCCUGUCCAACGUUAAUCGGGGCAGGGUGAGUCGACCCCUAAGGCGAGGCCGAAAGGCGUAGUCGAUGGGAAACAGGUUAAUAUUCCUGUACUUGGUGUUACUGCGAAGGGGGGACGGAGAAGGCUAUGUUAGCCGGGCGACGGUUGUCCCGGUUUAAGCAUGUAGGCUGGUUAUCCAGGCAAAUCCGGAUAAUCAAGGCUGAGGUGUGAUGACGAGGCACUACGGUGCUGAAGUAACAAAUGCCCUGCUUCCAGGAAAAGCCUCUAAGCAUCAGGUAACAUCAAAUCGUACCCCAAACCGACACAGGUGGUCAGGUAGAGAAUACCAAGGCGCUUGAGAGAACUCGGGUGAAGGAACUAGGCAAAAUGGUGCCGUAACUUCGGGAGAAGGCACGCUGGUGUGUAGGUGAAGUCCCUGCGGAUGGAGCUGAGACCAGUCGAAGAUACCAGCUGGCUGCAACUGUUUAUUAAAAACACAGCACUGUGCAAACACGAAAGUGGACGUAUACGGUGUGACGCCUGCCCGGUGCCGGAAGGUUAAUUGAUGGGGUUAUCCGUAAGGAGAAGCUCUUGAUCGAAGCCCCGGUAAACGGCGGCCGUAACUAUAACGGUCCUAAGGUAGCGAAAUUCCUUGUCGGGUAAGUUCCGACCUGCACGAAUGGCGUAAAUGAUGGCCAGGCUGUCUCCACCCGAGACUCAGUGAAAUUGAACUCGCUGUGAAGAUGCAGUGUACCCGCGGCAAGACGGAAAGACCCCGUGAACCUUUACUAUAGCUUGACACUGAACAUUGAGCCUUGAUGUGUAGGAUAGGUGGGAGGCUUUGAAGCGUGGACGCCAGUCUGCGUGGAGCCAACCUUGAAAUACCACCCUUUAAUGUUUGAUGUUCUAACGUUGGCCCCUUACCGGGGUUGCGGACAGUGUCUGGUGGGGUAGUUUGACUGGGGCGGUCUCCUCCCAAAGCGUAACGGAGGAGCACGAAGGUUAGCUAAUCCUGGUCGGACAUCAGGAGGUUAGUGCAAUGGCAUAAGCUAGCUUGACUGCGAGCGUGACGGCGCGAGCAGGUGCGAAAGCAGGUCAUAGUGAUCCGGUGGUUCUGAAUGGAAGGGCCAUCGCUCCAACGGAUAAAAGGUACUCCGGGGAUAACAGGCUGAUACCGCCCAAGAGUUCAUAUCGACGGCGGUGUUUGGCACCUCGAUGUCGGCUCAUCACAUCCUGGGGCUGAAGUAGGUCCCAAGGGUAUGGCUGUUCGCCAUUUAAAGUGGUACGCGAGCUGGGUUUAGAACGUCGUGAGACAGUUCGGUCCCUAUCUGCCGUGGGCGCUGGAGAAUUGAGGGGGGCUGCUCCUAGUACGAGAGGACCGGAGUGGACGCAUCACUGGUGUUCGGGUUGUCAUGCCAAUGGCACUGCCCGGUAGCUAAAUGCGGAAGAGAUAAGUGCUGAAAGCAUCUAAGCACGAAAACUUGCCCCGAGAUGAGUUCUCCCUGAGACUUUAAGUCUCCUGAAGGAACGUUGAAGACGACGACGUUGAUAGGCCGGGUGUGUAAGCGCAGCGAUGCGUUGAGCUAACCGGUACUAAUGAACCGUGAGGCUUAACCUU
rnacentral:rRNA from 1 species